rnacentral:rRNA from 1 species
CCUACGGGUGGCAGCAGUGAGGAAUAUUGGUCAAUGGACGAGAGUCUGAACCAGCCAAGUAGCGUGAAGGAUGACUGCUCUAUGGGUUGUAAACUUUUUUUAUAUGGGAAUAGAAUGUUCCACGCGUGGGUUUUUGUAUGUACCAUAUUAAUAAGGAUCGGCUAACUCCGUGCCAGUAGCCGCGGUAAUACGGAGGGUCCGAGCGUUAUCCGGAUUUAUUGGGUUUAAAGGGAGCGUAGGUGGAUUGGUAAGUCAGUUGUGAAAGUUUGCGGCUCAACCGUAAAAUUGCAGUUGAAACUGGCAGUCUGGAGUACAGUAGAGGUAGGCGGAAUUCGUGGUGUAGCGGUGAAAUGCUUAGAUAUCACGAAGAACUCCGAUUGCGAAGGCAGUUCACUGGACUGCAACUGACACUGAGGCUCGAAAGUGUGGGUAUCAAACAGGAUUAGAUACCCGGGUAGUC